rnacentral:lncRNA from 1 species
ACCUAGUUAGAGUAAUUAAUCGACCCGUAUAGUUAAUUAAAUCAUUGAACAUAUAGCAUGCAUACCUACCCAAAUCCCCCUAUUAUACGAAGCACAUGAUUGAGUAACACAAGAAAGAAAAAAACCUACUUUAAGUAAUAAAUUAAUUAAUCAAGAUGGAUUAACAGUAUAAUAAACUUAUCCCCUAUAUAUUAAUUGAGAAGCAUUUGAAAAGAUGUAACCUCAAUUUUGUAUUAAUUAAAAAAGACCCCUUGCUUAUGUGGCACAUCUAAAUGCCUUCUAAAUCUAUUUUCUAAGAAUUCUAAAGCACAUAAUAUAAACUAUAGUUUAAUCUAAAGUUGUCCCAUU